AACUGUGGUAUGUUCACAAAGGUUUGGAGUUUGUAACUCGAUAAUGAUCCCUNCCGCUGNUCACCAACGAG
rnacentral:rRNA from 1 species